rnacentral:lncRNA from 1 species
AAGGUAAACAUAAUUGAAUCACAAAAUAUUGAAAAGAAUACAAUAGUCUGACAAAAGUUGUUUCAUAUAAAUUGUGUAUACAAUCUACAUAUCCAUUUGUACCUUUGGCUACUUUCAAAUGAACAGGUCAAAAAACAAACUGAUCGUAAUAGCUCUCACUUUAACUUAAACAACAGCACCGGACUACAAUGAACAUACUUGAAAGCACAUCUAAAAGCUAAUAGGGUUGAUCAAGAAGCAACAGCUAGCCUUCAAUCAGUGGACUAAUUGUUGUAACCUGAACAAUAAUAUGCAGGAAACCAUAAGAGAUAUACUUCAGGAUUUAGCUAAACAUCCACGUACGGAUAAACUGCGCCAAAGCCACUCGAUGGAUGCUACACACUACAUGCCAUGCCAAAUAAUUGCCGAAUCUAAGUUCCAAAUGUGAAUGCAUGUGUGCGCCUCUAAUAAAUGAUACCGUAAUAAUUUCCACAUGGACAGAAAACCAUACAUGGAUAUUCUUAUGUUUCAGGAAAUCAAAUGCAUAUAUAAAUGAUUCAUCUUUGGUUUCUGAUGUCUAGAUUGAUUUAUAUUUUUCAGAUGUGUUUUGAAACAGUCUAUGGUGAAGAUGUGUGUAGCGUAUUAGCGAAAAUUAUUAGUACAAUCCAGAAUACAAAUAACUCACUUAAUAGAGAAUAAAGUAGACAAUAUGUGCAAGAAUACAUGCAGCAUUUUGGAGGUAAAUCUGACCUGAAAUGGGAAUAGAGAAGUAUUGCAUGACCUCUCGGCAGACCAAAACCUCUAUUAUCUUCCUUGCACUCCUACUUGGUUGUUAUUCAGUUGUGUGGCUGCUCACAUAAGUUGCUUCCACGGCUGGGCUUUGUACAUAGAACAGCCCAUGUAGGCCAACUAAUCAAAACCCUCCAAAAAUGCUACCGGAAUAGCCGCCCGUAGGAUGUUAAUGCCAGGUAGCAGAGACAGUUUUGCUUAGAUAUAUGCAUCCGACGACCAGCAACAACCAAAACAUUAAAUCGGUCGGCUCACGCAAUGUCGCGCCUGUCCAUUUUUCCCAUAUAAUAGUAGGAAAUUAUAUAGCAAUAUGGAGGAAUGAAACAUGGAGUUUACUGAUUUAUAUUAGAUAGUGAAAGUGAAAACGUCUCAACUACAAUUAAAUUUCAUGAGACUUGGGCAUGUCAUAUCGAUCCAUGUUAUGGAAAAUUGAAGUUAUAGGACAAAAUAGGUGGAAAACAAGUUAACCUGUCUAAAAUUUUAAAAUAUCUUCAGAGUGGUGAGUAGGACGUCCUUUUUGGAAAUUCAGCAGGCCACCAAGUCAAUCUCUACUAAUCGUAUAUCAAAAACAAUUGUUAGCCAACAAUAUACACAGUACCAUACUUACAUGAUAAAUAGCAACAUUGGAACCAUGUACACAGCCACGCACGGGGUAGUCAUGGACAAAUGAUAAGUCAUAGGUAAUAUUCGUGCAUGUCUAUUUGAAUUUUGGUAUUUUAUAUAAGUAAAUAUGGGUAGAAGGACAAGCCAUAAGUACUAAUCAUGUAUGUGUGUUUAUUUGUAUAGUACUUCAUUCUACUAAAUGUUAAACUUGCACAACAUGGUACAAUUUCAGAGCAUUACAUUAGGACGGCAGAUUAAACACCAAUGAGAAAAGAGAGGAUGUAUGGUUCACCUACAUGCAGGUAGGUCGCCAUGAAGGUGUGAGCCCUUGACCCUGUGCACCUGCAUGAACCCCUUAUUGCCACAUGUAUAUAUAAGAAAGAAAAGGCAGUGCAUAACUGUCAACUGUGCACUGAUAUUGCCGAGAACGAAGAAAAAUGGUAAAAAGGCAAUGUAAGCCUCAACCAAGCAAGUUGGUUUAAACUUUAAACUCUAAUAAAAUAAAUCCACAGCAAGAAAUAUUGCCACAAUUAAGAUAUCUACUAUUGCUCAUAAUAUCAAUUGUGGAGCUAUCUGUUCAUUGGAAUUGGAACCGUCAAUUCUCCGAGGAAAGAACGCAACUGAGAGAUGUAAGCGACUAUUGCUUCUGCUACUUGCUCUGUAAUGUGACCCCUACAAUUCAAAUUCUGAAAGCUGUCUAGUCAGCAAUAACCAGUACUAAUGAUAAUGAUUUGCUGGAUACCUGGGUAGCAGGGUGGGGCAAUUAUAAAACAAACACCAGCGGAAAGAGGUGAGGCUGGAAGCAGCACUGUCUUCUGCUCCUGAAGCUCCAGCCGAUAGAGAGGAAGGUCUAUAGUCCGCUAGCUGUCUCCCCGCAUAUGCAUAUAUAGUCAAUCUGCUAUGGCAUUGAGAACAAGACUGCAAGAAAAUAGGCAUAUUAGUCGAUGGGGAUAAUUGUGGACCGGAAGCAGUGGAAGUAUAAGCAUACAACGAUAGCUUUAUAUGCCAAAUAAACAAAUUAUCAAACACCUGACCUACAAUAGCCAUCAGAGAUUUGUCUCCCUUUAUUUCACGCUUAAGGUCUAACAAUACCAAAAUUCC